rnacentral:lncRNA from 1 species
GUUUGUUGUGUGUUUGGAGUUGGUUCAUUCUUCAUGACUUACAUUUGCAAAAGGUAGGUUAAAGUCUAGAUUUACCAUUGUAACCUUGUGAGUAAAUUGGGUUCUAAAAAACAGCUAUGUAAAUGAGAUGAAUAAACCUAAAUAUAGACAAACAUCAGAAAGAACAAACAAGGAUAAAAUGGCUUUGAAAUAACUCCAUAAUUAUCUUAGUUAUCAUGAAAGAGACUUUAGGCACUUCUGAGCUAGUCCUUCCAGAUGAUUUUAAAACGGCCCAAGUUUGUAUUUCCUG